UACGGAGGGUGCGAGCGUUGUCCGGAAUCACUGGGCGUAAAGGGCGCGUAGGCGGCUCGUGAAGUCAGAGGUGAAAGCCCAGGGCUCAACCUUGGAAUUGCCUUUGAUACUGGCUAUCUUGAGUUCGGGAGAGGUGAGUGGAAUGCCGAGUGUAGAGGUGAAAUUCGUAGAUAUUCGGCGGAACACCAGUGGCGAAGGCGACUCACUGGCCCGAUACUGACGCUGAGGCGCGAAAGCGUGGGGAGCAAACAGG
rnacentral:rRNA from 1 species